rnacentral:rRNA from 5 species
GGUUAAGUUAGAAAGGGCGCACGGUGGAUGCCUUGACACUAGGAGUCGAUGAAGGACGGGACUAACGCCGAUAUGCUUCGGGGAGCUGUAAGUAAGCUUUGAUCCGAAGAUUUCCGAAUGGGGAAACCCACCAUACGUAAUGGUAUGGUAUCCUUAUCUGAAUACAUAGGGUAAGGAAGACAGACCCAGGGAACUGAAACAUCUAAGUACCUGGAGGAAGAGAAAGCAAAUGCGAUUUCCUGAGUAGCGGCGAGCGAAACGGAACAUAGCCCAAACCAAGAGGCUUGCCUCUUGGGGUUGUAGGACAUUCUAUACGGAGUUACAAAGGAACGAGGUAGACGAAGCGACCUGGAAAGGUCCGUCGUAGAGGGUAACAACCCCGUAGUCGAAACUUCGUUCUCUCUUGAAUGUAUCCUGAGUACGGCGGAACACGUGAAAUUCCGUCGGAAUCUGGGAGGACCAUCUCCCAAGGCUAAAUACUCCCUAGUGAUCGAUAGUGAACCAGUACCGUGAGGGAAAGGUGAAAAGCACCCCGGAAGGGGAGUGAAAGAGAUCCUGAAACCGUGUGCCUACAAAUAGUCAGAGCCCGUUAACGGGUGAUGGCGUGCCUUUUGUAGAAUGAACCGGCGAGUUACGAUCCCGUGCGAGGUUAAGCUGAAGAGGCGGAGCCGCAGCGAAAGCGAGUCUGAAUAGGGCGUUUAGUACGUGGUCGUAGACCCGAAACCAGGUGAUCUACCCAUGUCCAGGGUGAAGUUCAGGUAACACUGAAUGGAGGCCCGAACCCACGCACGUUGAAAAGUGCGGGGAUGAGGUGUGGGUAGCGGAGAAAUUCCAAUCGAACCUGGAGAUAGCUGGUUCUCCCCGAAAUAGCUUUAGGGCUAGCCUUAAGUGUAAGAGUCUUGGAGGUAGAGCACUGAUUGGACUAGGGGUCCUCAUCGGAUUACCGAAUUCAGUCAAACUCCGAAUGCCAAUGACUUAUCCUUAGGAGUCAGACUGCGAGUGAUAAGAUCCGUAGUCAAAAGGGAAACAGCCCAGACCGCCAGCUAAGGUCCCAAAGUGUGUAUUAAGUGGAAAAGGAUGUGGAGUUGCUUAGACAACUAGGAUGUUGGCUUAGAAGCAGCCACCAUUUAAAGAGUGCGUAAUAGCUCACUAGUCGAGUGACUCUGCGCCGAAAAUGUACCGGGGCUAAAUACACCACCGAAGCUGCGGAUUGAUACCGAAUGGUAUCAGUGGUAGGGGAGCGUUCUAAGGACAGUGAAGUCAGACCGGAAGGACUGGUGGAGUGCUUAGAAGUGAGAAUGCCGGUAUGAGUAGCGAAAGACGGGUGAGAAUCCCGUCCACCGAAUGCCUAAGGUUUCCUGAGGAAGGCUCGUCCGCUCAGGGUUAGUCAGGACCUAAGCCGAGGCCGACAGGCGUAGGCGAUGGACAACAGGUUGAUAUUCCUGUACCACCUCUUUAUCGUUUGAGCAAUGGAGGGACGCAGAAGGAUAGAAGAAGCGUGCGAUUGGUUGUGCACGUCCAAGCAGUUAGGCUGAUAAGUAGGCAAAUCCGCUUAUCGUAAAGGCUGAGCUGUGAUGGGGAAGCUCCUUAUGGAGCGAAGUCUUUGAUUCCCCGCUGCCAAGAAAAGCUUCUAGCGAGAUAAAAGGUGCCUGUACCGCAAACCGACACAGGUAGGCGAGGAGAGAAUCCUAAGGUGUGCGAGAGAACUCUGGUUAAGGAACUCGGCAAAAUGACCCCGUAACUUCGGGAGAAGGGGUGCUUUCUUAACGGAAAGCCGCAGUGAAUAGGCCCAAGCGACUGUUUAGCAAAAACACAGCUCUCUGCGAAGCCGUAAGGCGAAGUAUAGGGGGUGACACCUGCCCGGUGCUGGAAGGUUAAGGAGAGGGGUUAGCGUAAGCGAAGCUCUGAACUGAAGCCCCAGUAAACGGCGGCCGUAACUAUAACGGUCCUAAGGUAGCGAAAUUCCUUGUCGGGUAAGUUCCGACCCGCACGAAAGGUGUAACGAUUUGGGCACUGUCUCAACCAGAGACUCGGUGAAAUUAUAGUACCUGUGAAGAUGCAGGUUACCCGCGACAGGACGGAAAGACCCCGUGGAGCUUUACUGUAGCCUGAUAUUGAAUUUUGGUACAGUUUGUACAGGAUAGGCGGGAGCCUUUGAAACCGGAGCGCUAGCUUCGGUGGAGGCGCUGGUGGGAUACCGCCCUGACUGUAUUGAAAUUCUAACCUACGGGUCUUAUCGACCCGGGAGACAGUGUCAGGUGGGCAGUUUGACUGGGGCGGUCGCCUCCUAAAGUGUAACGGAGGCGCCCAAAGGUUCCCUCAGAAUGGUUGGAAAUCAUUCGUAGAGUGCAAAGGCAUAAGGGAGCUUGACUGCGAGACCUACAAGUCGAGCAGGGACGAAAGUCGGGCUUAGUGAUCCGGUGGUUCCGCAUGGAAGGGCCAUCGCUCAACGGAUAAAAGCUACCCCGGGGAUAACAGGCUUAUCUCCCCCAAGAGUCCACAUCGACGGGGAGGUUUGGCACCUCGAUGUCGGCUCAUCGCAUCCUGGGGCUGUAGUCGGUCCCAAGGGUUGGGCUGUUCGCCCAUUAAAGCGGUACGCGAGCUGGGUUCAGAACGUCGUGAGACAGUUCGGUCCCUAUCCGUCGUGGGCGUAGGAAAUUUGAGAGGAGCUGUCCUUAGUACGAGAGGACCGGGAUGGACGCACCGCUGGUGUACCAGUUGUUCUGCCAAGGGCAUAGCUGGGUAGCUAUGUGCGGAAGGGAUAAGUGCUGAAAGCAUCUAAGCAUGAAGCCCCCCUCAAGAUGAGAUUUCCCAUAGCGUAAGCUAGUAAGAUCCCUGAAAGAUGAUCAGGUUGAUAGGUUCGAGGUGGAAGCAUGGUGACAUGUGGAGCUGACGAAUACUAAUAGAUCGAGGACUUAACCAU